rnacentral:tRNA from 1 species
GCGUCUGUGGCCAAGCGGCUAAGGCGGCUCCCUGCAGAGGAGCAGAUCGGGGGUUCAAGUCCCUCCAGGCGCU